GCUCGGUUUUCGCCCCUUCCUACCCCGCCGCCCCAAGCGCCUGCUUGCAACAUCCUCCCCAAACUCCCUAACUGGUAGAAAGUUUCUGCGAUUGCUCAAACGCCGGAGGGCUGUUUUUCUCCUCCCACCCUGGGGGGCGCCAAAGACCUGCGCCGGCCGGCCAAGGGACGCAAAGUGUCGCCUCGGGGAAGGAAGAUCUCGCCGUUUGCCCUCUCCCUCCUCUGAGACCCUCCGCGACCCCAUCCGCGCAGUUCGCAAUUGGAACGGUUAUGCAGGGGACCCCCUUCUCCCCCAGCUAGCCUUCCCAGUUUGGGAACCGAGAGCCGGACCAGAGGAGACCGAGACAGCGCUCUCGGAUGCUGGGAUCACCCCAUCGGCAACAGAACUGCCUUCUCAGCCAGCUAGGGAAAAGUUUUGUUUUAAACUCGUUUGCAAGGGAAAGGGCUAUUGCUGAGGCUGUAAGAUAGGAGUUUUGGAAGCCGAGGAAAGCCGAAAAACAGCUGUUGGAAGCUUUGGACUGUAGUAGUUUGCGGACUGAACUCCUAAAUCCAGUUGGAAAAGGAUGGGGAAAAAAACAGAUAGGAAGAGAUUGUGUUUUGAGAGAGAGCUUCGAGGCCGAUAUCCCCAGGGACUUGAAAACUGGUAUUUAAGCCACGUGUUGUAAAUGGAAACCCUUCACACCGUCACUAAGAGGACUGAGCUGUAUUUCUAGCUUCCUGAGGAAUGUGAGAAAAGGAUAGGACACGUCCCUGAAGGACACCUGCAGAUAAGGGAUUAGUAACAUUUUAAUGACUAUAAAGGUCUAAUGAGAAGAGAAUUUCUAGUGAUAUGCCCAAAGUGAUCUGCAUCUAACAGAUUUUGUAGAGAUCAUUUUUAGAUGAUAUAAAGAAAUUUCUGACUGCUACAUUAGGAAUUAUGAUUUGAGCCAUUUUUAUACUGUUAUGGUUUCUUUUGCUAAUAUCGUUUUGAUCCAUACCUAUUAAACUGUGCCUCAUUUUUUCUUGCUAAAGAAUUAUGUGAAUCUAUUACUGACCUUUGCUCUUUUUAUUAUAGUAAAAUUUUGUUACCACCCAUGGGAAAUAGCAGUGCCACAAGGAAAUAACACACCCCCCCUCCAUUCUCCAUUCUAAAAUCAUAAGGGCCUC
rnacentral:lncRNA from 1 species